rnacentral:rRNA from 1 species
AUGCACAUGCCCAGAGGAGUACAUCCGCUACUGCCGAUCGAGCGCCAUGCGCCAAGUCCCCGCCACCUUGGAUCACGGCGACCCCAGUUCACCGUCAACGCCGCCAUCUUGCUACCCUCGCUGGAGAGCACCGUGCCGCCCGAGUUGCGCCCAAGCCCCAUCCCGCAGCGCCUGUCCAGCCUUUGCUUCGAGCAGAGGAGGAAGCUGCCUCGUUCAACGUCAGUUGACCGCGCGAGCAUCGUCAGCGCUCCCCUCUGCUUCACCUGCUCGAUCCGGCCAAACGAACGCCACAGCCACCCCGCGUUGACCCGCUAG